rnacentral:rRNA from 1 species
AGAGUUUGAUCCUGGCUCAGGUUGAACGCUGGCGGCGUGCUUAACACAUGCAAGUCGAACGAUCCUUCGGGAUAGUGGCGGACGGGUGAGUAACGCGUGGGAAUCUGCCCUCAGGAGGGGGAUAACGGCUGGAAACGGCCGCUAAUACCCCAUAUGCCGAGAGGUGAAAUGAAUUUCGCCUGAGGAUGAGCCCGCGUCUGAUUAGCUAGUUGGUGGGGUAAAGGCCUACCAAGGCGACGAUCAGUAGCUGGUCUGAGAGGAUGAUCAGCCACACUGGGACUGAGACACGGCCCAGACUCCUACGGGAGGCAGCAGUGGGGAAUUUUCCGCAAUGGGCGAAAGCCUGACGGAGCAACGCCGCGUGAGGGAUGAAGGCCUCUGGGCUGUAAACCUCUUUUCUCAAGGAAGAAGAACUGACGGUACUUGAGGAAUAAGCCACGGCUAAUUCCGUGCCAGCAGCCGCGGUAAUACGGGAGUGGCAAGCGUUAUCCGGAAUUAUUGGGCGUAAAGCGUCCGCAGGCGGCCUUGUAAGUCUGUUGUUAAAGCGUGGAGCUCAACUCCAUUUAAGCAAUGGAAACUACAAGGCUGGAGUGUGGUAGGGGCAGAGGGAAUUCCCGGUGUAGCGGUGAAAUGCGUAGAUAUCGGGAAGAACACCAGUGGCGAAGGCGCUCUGCUGGGCCAUAACUGACGCUCAUGGACGAAAGCCAGGGGAGCGAAAGGGAUUAGAUACCCCUGUAGUCCUGGCCGUAAACGAUGAACACUAGGUGUCGGGGGAAUCGACCCCCUCGGUGUCGUAGCCAACGCGUUAAGUGUUCCGCCUGGGGAGUACGCACGCAAGUGUGAAACUCAAAGGAAUUGACGGGGGCCCGCACAAGCGGUGGAGUAUGUGGUUUAAUUCGAUGCAACGCGAAGAACCUUACCAGGGUUUGACAUCCUGCGAAUCCCUUGGAAACGAGGGAGUGCCUUCGGGAGCGCAGUGACAGGUGGUGCAUGGCUGUCGUCAGCUCGUGUCGUGAGAUGUUGGGUUAAGUCCCGCAACGAGCGCAACCCACGUCUUUAGUUGCCAGCAUUCAGUUGGGCACUCUAGAGAGACCGCCGGUGAUAAACCGGAGGAAGGUGUGGAUGACGUCAAGUCAUCAUGCCCCUUACAUCCUGGGCUACACACGUACUACAAUGCUACGGACAAAGGGCAGCAAGCUCGCGAGAGUUAGCAAAUCCCAUAAACCGUGGCUCAGUUCAGAUCGUAGGCUGCAACUCGCCUACGUGAAGGAGGAAUCGCUAGUAAUCGCAGGUCAGCAUACUGCGGUGAAUACGUUCCCGGGCCUUGUACACACCGCCCGUCACACCAUGGAAGUUGGCCAUGCCCGAAGUCGUUACUCCAACCCUUGUGGAGGAGGACGCCGAAGGUGGGGCUGAUGACUGGGGUGAAGUCGGAACAAGGUA